rnacentral:tRNA from 1 species
GCCCGGAUGGCGGAAUGGUAGACGCUGCGGCCUUAAAAGCCGCUGUCCCCAUCGGGGGCGUGCGGGUUCGAAUCCCGCUCCGGGCA